GAUGAACGCUAGCGGGAGGCCUAACACAUGCAAGCCGAGCGGUAGAGUCUCUUCGGAGACUUGAGAGCGGCGCACGGGUGCGGAACACGUGUGCAACCUGCCUUUAUCUGGGGGAUAGCCUUUCGAAGGGAAGAUUAAUACCCCAUAAUAUACUGGAUGGCAUCAUCUGGUAUUGAAAACUCCGGUGGAUAGAGAUGGGCACGCGCAAGAUUAGAUAGUUGGUGAGGUAACGGCUCACCAAGUCAGCGAUCUUUAGGGGGCCUGAGAGGGUGAUCCCCCACACGGGUACUGAGACACGGACCAGACUCCUACGGGAGGCAGCAGUGAGGAAUAUUGGACAAUGGGUGAGAGCCUGAUCCAGCCAUCCCGCGUGAAGGACGACGGCCCUAUGGGUUGUAAACUUCUUUUGUAUAGGGAUAAACCUAGAUACGUGUAUCUAGCUGAAGGUACUAUACGAAUAAGCACCGGCUAACUCCGUG
rnacentral:rRNA from 1 species